rnacentral:rRNA from 1 species
UACGAAGGGUGCAAGCGUUACUCGGAAUUACUGGGCGUAAAGCGUGCGUAGGCGGUUUGUUAAGUCCGCUGUGAAAGCCCUGGGCUCAACCUGGGAAUUGCAGUGGAUACUGGCAAGCUAGAGUGCGGUAGAGGAUGGUGGAAUUCCCGGUGUAGCGGUGAAAAUGCGUAGAGAUCGGGAGGAACACCCGUGGCGAAGGCGGCCAUCUGGACCAGCACUGACGCUGAGGCACGGAAAGCGUGGGGAGCAACAGG